CCUACGGGAGGCAGCAGUAAGGAAUUGUUCGCAAUGGGCGCAAGCCUGACGACGCAACGCCGCGUGGAGGACGAAGAUCUUCGGGUUGUAAACUCCUGUCAAGCGGGAAGAACAGCGUGCGGGUUAAUACCCCGUGCGCCUGACGGUACCGUUGAAGGAAGCCCCGGCUAACUCCGUGCCAGCAGCCGCGGUAAUACGGGGGGGGCAAGCGUUGUUCGGAAUUACUGGGCGUAAAGGGCUCGUAGGCGGCCAGCCAAGUCGGACGUGAAAUCCCUCGGCUCAACCGGGGAACUGCAUCCGAUACUGGUUGGCUUGAAGCCGGGAGAGGGAUGCGGAAUUCCAGGUGUAGCGGUGAAAUGCGUAGAUAUCUGGAGGAACACCGGUGGCGAAGGCGGCAUCCUGGACCGGUCUUGACGCUGAGGAGCGAAAGCCAGGGGAGCGAACGGGAUUAGAUACCCCGGUAGUCCUGGCCCUAAACGAUGAAUGCUUGGUGUGGCGGGUAUCGAUCCCUGCCGUGCCGGAGCUAACGCAUUAAGCAUUCCGCCUGG
rnacentral:rRNA from 1 species